GAAAUGGUGCUUAAAUGUUGAAUUUCAUGAUCCUGGACACUGAUGGAUACAUUCUUUGAUAUUGUAUGCUUUAUCUCGGGCUCUAGAAUAGACGAUAAAUCAGUGAUGUUGGUAAUGAUUUCAAACUGAUAUGUGGCGUCUCAAUAAUGUGUGUCACUGUAAGUUUGAACAGAACUGUGAAACUUAACUCUUGUCGUGCCAUCUUGUACGUUGUCUUCACAUGUGUGUAUGAUUGUCCUAGAUGUGUGUAACAUUUGGAAUGGGACAUAGUCUUCUCAUUUACUGAAGUAACUUCAAAACAAUUUUUGAUAAUCUCAAGUUGAAUGGAGUGAUUGUAUAAAAUAUCCAUGCUAAUCUCACCUGAGAGUUAUAUGAAUAGGUGAGCAACAGUGCUGCACUAUUUAACAUUUGUAUCUUGAAACAUUGUGCUGAUAAGUAUUGUCAUUACUCACAUGUUGUUUGUGUUGUAAAUUUGUAAAUAAAACUUUAAAACCUGA